AUUGUGCUGUUUCCCUAAACAUGAUUCAAUCAUGAAACAUCCUUGUAAAUAGUCUUGUUGUUAGAUGGACAUGUUUCAAUCAUGACCACAUUACAUGAAAUAGUUGCAAUGUAUGGAAAAGCUCCUCCUACUUUUUUGAUACUAAAUUACCCCUCCCAAUCCUUUGCCCGGGAAAAGCAAUUAUACUGCAGAAGAAGAAGGCCCGAUUUUAUCAGUGCUGCCUGGAACUUUAAGGAGGCAAGGUGCUCUGCUAGAAUAAUGCAUUGAAUGGCAAGCUUGCCUGUUUCAAAGGCUCUGUAGUGUAUGUGGCAGUGUAAGGGGUGCCGGGUAGAAGUAUCAAACUGAGAAUAAUGGCUUCACCCUGCAUACUGAAAGUCAUAUUGGUGGACAACACCUGCCAGAGGCUAACACUACCAUGUGGACUUCCUCAAUCUGUGAGUGAGCUUAUGGAAGAAGUACAGCGCCAGUGUGGACUGACCUACACCUUCAACCUACAGUUUAUGGAUCCACUCUUUAAUGAUGACUUCAUGAAUCUGACCUCAGUAUCUGAAAUACAAAACAGAGGCACUAUUAAGGUGGUAAAUCUGUCAGAUCCAACCAUUUUACAGUCACCUGUUUCAUCUGCUGGUUGUCGUUCACAGUCAACUUCAAGUUUUUCUGGUGUGAGUUGUCCUGAUACAGACAUUCUUUCUUCAACUGAGUCUCAGUCUGAGCCAUCCACUUCAAGGUCAUUGUGGCCAGACAAGUUUUGUGUUCCUCAGUUUUCCUUUGACUCUGAGUUAAAACUUGACCGAGCCAAUGCAGAAUAUAAAGAAAAUGGGACACUUCUGACUCCAGAUAACAAACUUUUGUCAAACAUUCUCGAUGGACUUGUGCAAGAAAUUGUUCAUUAUGGACUUUAUAUAACCGACAACCAGUUCAACAGUGUGGGUGAGGCGCUCAUACUAAAGCAUCCCUGUC